AAUCUGCUGACUUUCGCGGCUGACAGCAUGCGACAAUCUGAAGGGCACGGAGGAAAAAAGAAAAAAAAUAGAAAAAACAUCUCCAUGAAUAGUUGGGAAGCCAGCUGUGCUGUGUCUAGCGACUUUGACGUCGACGCUCACGUUAAACACGCUGUUCGCCCACGUACACCAUCGCUAACGAGCAAGGAGCUGUGCAACGUAACGUCUCAACGUUGCGCGCAAGGGGCCACAACAUAAAAGUAUUUCGCAAUGGCCCAUCAUCGUGGAGCCCUCAUGCCCAAGGCUAGGAGCAUCGCCGGAUGGUCUAGUUUUUGACCCAGCUGAAACGCCUCCUCACGGCAUUGUUGAAAUGGUCAAGCACCACGGCGACGCUAGGCAUGGAAUGACCCAUAUUUCUUCAGCGAGACUGAAUGACCUGAGUGAAUAAACUUUACUUCAUGAUCCGGCAGGUUUAUGGUCUGUGCUAAAACACGCAGGAAAGUACCAGCAGACCUUGUCUUCAUACAGCCUCCUGGCCUGCUGGAUAGCCCAUUUUUGGUCUUGGACCUCCGAGCUGAGCAGCACUAGUGGCUACCACUCCUGGAGGGCCUCAGGAGAACACGUUGAUAUUUUGGGGCAUUCCCACAAUAUAUGCUUAUAAGGCGCUCUGAUAUGCAUAGCUUGCACUUAUUGUCGGGUAUGAGUGUGGGUAGCUCGUGUUACCGUGCACAGGGUCAGGGUAGGGGUAGGUAGGCGUUUGUCAGAAGCUUUCUGUAAUUCAGAUGAUUGUUGCCUGUCUAGACUCGGAUGAGGUGCGGGAAAAGACGUGCCUUGCUUCUGUCGAAUUAUUUCACAAACACGUGGUGUUAUGUAUUGAACAUCAGCCCUAUGUAGGCUCGCGUUUACAGUCGUGCUUGCUCGCACUUCAAAACACUAGAGUUCACAGACUAGCUAAAUAUUUAUUGGUCAGAGGUUUGAGUUUUGAAGGGGGUGUGCUAUGAGCACUCUGCUCCCUAAACACUUUCAUGGAAAUUGGUCAAUAAAAAUAUAUUCUGUGAGUCGUCUUUCAAUAAAAUGUUCUAAAUUAAUA